UAUCGUUUUGUUAAAUUCAAGUGAAACGACUUGUCAGCCAACUAAAAAAAAACCGCUUACACCAAAUAAGAAAAAAGAAAAAUCUCUCUCUUCAAUCGCUCGCUAGAAAAUCCUCUCUGCUUCUUCAUCUUUUUCUCUCUUUAAUAGCUCGCUUGAAAUUGGAAAGAUCUUCCCUUUUUAUCUGCGGCUCAUUAUCGUUCCUCUGUUAUUUCUCUUCGAUACCAAAUUAACAGGAAGCAUCUGUUAAUGGAUGGACAAAACCAACCGCUGGGGGAAUUGGAUCUGGAGACUGAUGAUCAGACAGUAGAAUUCGAUCCGUCAAGUAGUGUUCUUGACCUCACCAGUUUUCAGCUUCAUGAUCUUGGCUCAGUCGAGUUAUCUCCGAGUCUUACUGAGUUGGACUUGACCUCAAAUCGCUUAUCGAGCUUGGACUCUAGAAUUUUGCAUCUCUCUAACCUGAAAAAGCUUUCUCUUCGGCAGAACCUUAUUGAUGAUGCUGCCAUUGAGCCCCUUUCUAGUUGCGAACCCUUAGUGGGCCUUGAGGAGCUGGUGCUGAGGGAUAAUAAAUUAAUUAAAAUACCUGAUGUUAGCAUAUUCAAGAGCCUCUUAGUUUUUGAUGUUUCUUUCAAUGAAAUCAGGUCCUUGCAGGGACUUUCCAAGGCCUCCAAUACUCUGAAGGAACUCUAUGUAUCUAAAAAUGAAGUUACUAAGAUGGAGGAGAUUGACCACCUUUAUCAAUUACAAAUUCUUGAACUUGGUUCCAAUCGAUUACGGGUGAUGGAGAAUUUGAAAAAUUUAACAAAUUUACAGGAGCUGUGGCUGGGACGGAAUCGUAUCAAAACAAUUAACCUUUGUGGGCUGAAAUACAUAAGGAAGCUUAGCUUGCAAAGCAAUCGCUUAACUUCUAUGAAAGGAUUAGAGGAAUGUGUUGCUUUAGAAGAGCUAUAUUUAAGUCAUAAUGGUAUUGCUAAAAUGGAAGGCCUUUCAACCUUGGUCAAACUCUCCGUUCUGGAUGUAUCAUCUAACAAGUUAACUUCAGUGAAUGACAUUCAGAACCUGACCCACUUAGAAGAUCUAUGGCUUAAUGACAACCAGAUAGAAUCACUUGACGGAAUUGAAGAGGCCAUUGCUGGUUCAAGAGAGAAACUAACCACAAUCUACAUUGAAAACAAUCCAUGUACAAGAUCUCCAAAUUAUGGCAUCAUUUUGAGACAGAUUUUCCCUAAUAUUCAGCAAAUUGAUUCAAACGUAUUUGCUUAGAAAUUUCAUACUUCCAGGUUCCUUUUUGUCAUUCCGGUUAUACCCAGAAAGUCAAAACUCUGAGAGUCAAGUUUUGGUAUAAGAUAGUAUUGCAAGUAUGCCACUGAUGUGAAAAGCCAUGCAUGCUUCGAUUGGGGAUGCAAGUUGCUGCUGCUCCAAUUUAUCGAUUUGUUUUUGCUGUUGUGUUUUCCUUCCAUUUCUGUUCGGAAGUAAUAUUUUCAAAUAUGAAUAUUCUUGCCUAUAUUUGUUAGCUUCAGAUAUGUUAGUAGAUGAGGUUGAGUGCAAGGACUAAUUUUCAACUUAAAAUACAAAUUUCACUUUAUGAUGUUCUUGCUGGAGGUUUCUUUUGUUCAUGGAAUUAAUUUAUCCGAAUGAUAGACAUUGUUACGAA